CACGUAGGGGGCGAGCGUUGUCCGGAUUUAUUGGGCGUAAAGCGCGCGUAGGCGGCCCUGUAAGUCCGUUGUGAAAGUCAAAGGCUCAACCUUUGAAAGCCGAUGGAUACUGCAGGGCUAGAGUCCGGAAGAGGCGAGUGGAAUUCCUGGUGUAGCGGUGGAAUGCGCAGAUAUCAGGAGGUACACCGGUGGCGAAGGCGGUUCUCUGGGCAUUACCUGACGCUGAGGAGCGAAAGUGUGGGGAGCGAACAGG
rnacentral:rRNA from 1 species